CAAAUUCUUACUGCCUUUCACAUUAAACCCUCUUAAAUUCAGUCUCCAUAUAGGUUAAAACAUGUAAACAUAAGAGAAGGGAAAGAAGAAAAAGAGUAGCCUCAAACAUUAAGGUACAACUUCCAUAGCAAAGCGUUUCUUCUGUUUGGUGAAGGGGCCUCUUUCAUGAGGUUGAUAUGCAAGACUAAGCCAGGAAUGACUACUUCCCAGACAUCUAACCUUAGACAAGUUGCUUAAACUCUCUCAGUUUCUUGAUCUGUCAAGUGAGUCUGAAAACUCAUAUCACUGCCAGCUUCUGGUGAAGGUUUAGAUUUAGAGAUCAUAUAGAUAAUAUAAAUUUUCCGAUACAGUAAUGGUUUUGUAUAAAUAUCAUAAUGUCAGGCUGGGUACCGCAAAGUAUGUAGUUUUAUUAUGCAUGAUUAAAAUAUAUUGCAGACUACCACAUCUCAGGCUUUGAGAGACAGAAAGAAUGUGAGUCUAUCACCAUCUCCUAAUAUCAUCACAUUGGGGUCUACCGUUUAAACAUAUACAUUUUGCAGGCACAGUUCAAUCCAUAACAUCCUGUCAGAUCAGGACAGGGUCUGCUUUUGCUCACUGUUUUGUCUCCUAACAGAGUAGUUGGUCAAUAAAUAUUGAGCAAAUGAGUAAAUGAUAGAGAAAGGCAUGUGUCAUUCUCCCUUAGGGUAAACCAAUAGAAAAGUGUUGCUCAUGUAUCAUUACUUGCUUUAAGGAAUGUAUACAGGGUCUGCGGUACCCAGAAUCAAUACAUUUUUCUAUAUUCUAAUUGUUUUAACUGUUAGGGGAAAAGGCAUUAUUUUACCAAGAAAACACACUUAUAAAACAGUGUAUUGACUAGAAACACAGUAGAUACAGUUGGUAUAUUUGAAAAGAUUUUGACUAAAUUUUCUUAGCUACAUAAGAUAACCAGAUUUUCAGUUUGUACAUCCCACCCUAAACACAAGCUAUUAUAACACUUCAGUACUUAACUGCUAACGUAUUUUAACCUUUCUUUCUGAUGAUAUAUUAUUGAGAGAGAGAAUUUAGAAAUUACUAACUUAAAAACUAAAAUUGCCCAUAACUAAUUAUACUAUAUAUUUAAAAAUUAAACUGGCCGGGCGCGGUGGCUCAAGCCUGUAAUCCCAGUACUUUGGGAGGCCAAGGCGGGUGGAUC
rnacentral:lncRNA from 1 species